CACCCAGCGUAUCACGCAUUGGAUUAGGAAAUAAUGUUGCUGGGGUAAUUGCACUUGUCGAUGUAGUAAGUGAAGCAUGCUUGGCUUUGCACGAGAACAAUAUUGUGCACAGCCUAAUGAUGUCCAACCACGGCAGAAAUGUUUUCUUAUUCCCCAGGUGAAAAAUCUGGUCACUGGCUGCUGUCUUUCUGCCUGGGAGUGCUGUGGCUACUUUGUUUAUCACACCAAAGUUGAUUUCGACCGAGCUUCUAGUAGAAAUUCUGAAUUGGUAUCACUUUUCACGAUACCUAAAAGGUGGAAUAGCGAUUUUCGAACCAUUUCCUAUAAGAGAAUGGUUUCCAUUACUUUGAGAAAUGGAUUCUUGAGACCGGAAUUUCCAAUAGGAUGGCUUCGUUCUCGUUCCAAGAUGGUGACUUUGAAGACUUGAAGAAACUCUGCUGCGCUAUAGCUGAUGGCCUUGUUACCUAAGCCUGCACCGUAUGCAAGCAUCAACAAUGUGUGCAGCGGUUCAUUAUGUAAAAUCACCCAGAAUGUUACUGCAACUAUAAACAUAUCGUGUAUCAUGCUCUCCCAUUCCCCGUGUUUGGCGUGUUAUGCAUAAAUACUAUGAAACAUAUGUCUGAAGACAUCCGGGUUGAUGAAUAAAGCUUGCUGUUCUCCUCA